AGCUUGAACAUAGAAUUGAAAAGAGAAACCCUUUAUUAUUUUAUAUCAUUGGCCUAUUUUUGGCAUUGCAUAUCGUUGUAGUUUGUUUAUUCAUAGAACUAGUUGUUUAUGAUCCCCUUUUGAAGUAAAAAAAUGCAGUAGAAGAGUGUUUAGAACCAGUUGCUUUAUUCAUUGAAUUUUUAUAGAAUCAGGUGUUUAUUAUAAAACAGUUUUUCCGGUUGAACCGGUUAAACCAAUGAAAUAGUGAACCAAUAACUAGAACGGUUAGAUGACCGGUACGGUUUUCUGAACCUUGCUUUGAACUUUGAAAACGGAAGACCAUGUGUGACCCCCCAGCCCCCUUCCUGAAUCAAAAAGCAACCCUAGCCUCCAAAAUCCAAAGGCUCAAAUGGCAACCCUAGCCUCCACCACCGCCGUCGUCUUCGUCGAGCAGCUGCAUCAUGGUAGCCGUCGUCUUCGUCUGCCCUCUGGUCGCUUUCGUCUUCGUCUGGCCUCUCGUUGCCGUUGUCCUCGUCUGCCCUCUGGUAGCCGUUGUCCUCGUCUGCCCUCUGGUCGCCGUCGUCUUCUUCUGCUCGCCGAAGGUCAGUGCUCAGUGCUCCCGUUGUCUCUUUUUUGCGUAGCGUGAACGCCGGCGUGCUUGUUCGCGGGUUCACGGUGAAGAACCCCCGCAGAACCACUAGCGCCACUCUCGUUCAUCGCGCCACCGUUCAUCGCACCUCCGUCCUCAUUGCCAUUCGGCACCCUGUCGCUGCCUUCAAUUACGGUAUCUUCUCCUUCCUCAUUCACCGAGGCACCGACCUCGGUGCCAUCGCUUUGCUCCGCCGUGCGACAACAGAUCCACAUUUCUCGGGUUAGAUUACGGUUGAACCGGUUAGACCAAUGAACCAGUAAACCAAUGAUUAGAGUUGUUCGAUGACCGGUUCGGUUUUCAGAACCUUGGAAAACCCCAUCCACCCCUCAAAUCAAAAUCUCAAUCGGAAAAAAAAAAAAAAAAAGACGAUGAGUUCAAGCGAUAAUACGAAUGCCAUUGCUGAAUGCACGAAGCAACUGAGGCGCCACGAAGUUGCCAUUGCUGAGCUCAACAACCUUCCCUCUUCCUCCGCUGUGUAUCAGAAAAAUUGCAACUUAUAUUUUCGCACAACCAUCCAGAAAGCAACAACAACUGAACAAAGUAAGAAUUAUUCACCUUUGACUCUGUUUUUCUCACAUGUUUUUAUGUAAUUCUUAGGAGAUACCCAUGUUUGAAGGUGCCAAACAAUUCUAAUAACAUAUUUUCCCCCUGAAUUUAUGUUGGUUAGAGCAACUAGAUUCAGUCAAAGCCAAGCUAAGAAAUCUGAAUCCUUCUUCGUAGUCUUGAAGCCUAAUUCUUUCUUGGUAAGUAACACAACAAUUUCCUGACCUAUGAGGGAGGGCAAUAAUGUAAUUAGGGGACUAUGUUCCAACUUGGAAGUUUCUUCUUUGUCCAAUUGCUAUGUAACGUGAAAUGCAUUUUACUAGUGAUGUUUGUUCUACACUACAAAAUGAACUCUUUAAUUGAAAUUUAUCCUUUAUGAAUUUUGUUUCAUUACCGACUCUUGA